CCCAAACCCCUGUGAACAUACCACUUGUUGCCUCGGCGGAUCAGCCCGCUCCCGGUAAAACGGGACGGCCCGCCAGAGGACCCCUAAACUCUGUUUCUAUAUGUAACUUCUGAGUAAAACCAUAAAUAAAUCAAAACUUUCAACAACGGAUCUCUUGGUUCUGGCAUCGAUGAAGAACGCAGCAAAAUGCGAUAAGUAAUGUGAAUUGCAGAAUUCAGUGAAUCAUCGAAUCUUUGAACGCACAUUGCGCCCGCCAGUAUUCUGGCGGGCAUGCCUGUUCGAGCGUCAUUUCAACCCUCAAGCACAGCUUGGUGUUGGGACUCGCGUUAAUUCGCGUUCCUCAAAUUGAUUGGCGGUCACGUCGAGCUUCCAUAGCGUAGUAGUAAAACCCUCGUUACUGGUAAUCGUCGCGGCCACGCCGUUAAACCCCCAACUUCUGAAUGUUGACCUCGGAUCAGGUAGGAAUACCCGCUGAACUUAAGCAUAUCA
rnacentral:rRNA from 1 species